rnacentral:lncRNA from 1 species
AAAAGUGAAUAUGGCCUUCAUUGUUCAUUUAUCUGCCCUCGUUUUCACACUAAUCCAGAUAAAACGAGAUUCUAACUGUUCAUCAAAAUAUCUACCUUAUAUAAUAUGCCUUUUGUACCUUUUCUCCUUACUACUCUCUCUCUCUCUCUAGAUUGUAGCAAGAAAUUCCAGAUAAUCUGAAUUCUCAAAUAAUCCGACUCCUAAAACCAGUUCCUAAUUUAUGUUGAAGGAGAGGUCAAUUUAGGAUUUUGAAUUCCCAGUCUUUUGGUUAGGGUCGGCCCUAAGCGAAAAAUUAUCUCGAAGCCCUAUAUUUUUUUACACGUGUAACAAUAUUUUGAGGCCUUAUUGAAUUGUUAUUACAAUGGAUUGUUGUGCUGAUAUAAUGGUAUUAUUAUGAGUUUUGAGGCCCUUGGUCCAAGCCACUUUUUUGAGGCCCUAGUUGGUUGCCUAGGUGGCUUAGCCGUAGGGCCGGCCCUUCUUUGGUUUCUACUUCCUCUAAUUGCAGUAACUCACUUUCUUGAUCAAAUUGUUUCUUUUUGUUUUGUUGAUAGCAAAAAAAGCUUUCUUUUGCUUCUUUGUGAUUUUAAUGAAAGAAUGUAACUUUACUCAUAUACCAAACAUUUAUAAUAUGAACUUGUGAUGGGGAGAACUUUGUUGACAAAAAUGGAUGAGCACACCAAGAUCUAUCGAAUGAACCUAUGCGCCAACGAAUGAAGUAGCGGUUUGGUAAAUCCCAUCUUUUUCCAUCAAUUUUUUUUAUCUAUAUGAAGCCUUAUGCCAAUAUUUAUGUCUGAUUUGGUUCAAGGAUACUCUAUUCAACUGCUUUUACUCUGCUAUAGCAACUGUAUUGCCACACGAAUGUCUCUUAGGAGAAUUAGGGGAGCCCUACAAAAUUGUACAAAGGCUACUGAAUUAUACCGUUGCUUUCUUAAAGUUUCAAUAAGAGCUGGAAAGUAAAAAAAUUUUCAGUUUCAGUUCUUACUAUCAUUUGUUUCUUCGACUAACAAUGGUAAAGUGGGUAAAGGAACCAUGAAAAGAAUUGUGUUCAUCAUACUCUACUGUAUUGUCAUGUAAAUUUCUGAUAUAGUACAUCCGAAAAAACAUAAAUUUCUAUAUUUGUUGAAAAGUCUAAAGUUAUUAUAGUAUCUAAUAUCUGAAAAUAUGAAUUUUUUUUCCCUUUUGUAUGUGUGUGUGUGUUUGGGGGGUUGUGAAGGUUGGGGUUUUGGUGUAUAAUUUAUGUGCUGUGAUUUUCGGGGGUUGAAAAACAGUCAUUGGAUGGUAUAAGAAGCGAUAGAGGAAAUGGUGAUAGUGGUGAAGACAAGUAUGACUAUAGAUAAUUUUUUCUCAUUUCUAAAAAUAGAAAAAAUAUUGUGCUUUAGUUUAUUUGGAUAAUGAAUAUAUAUCUUGAGUCCUUUAUUUUUACAAAUAGUAAAAGCUACGAAAGGAGGAAUUAUUGUCUGAUCAUAGCUCUAUCGAAUAUUUUUUCCAAAUUAUGAUGGCUAACUAGGCUAUUCAGUAGUAGUAAGUAUUUGACAAAACAACAACAAACUAAUAUAUAUAUAUAUAUAUAUAUUUUUUUUUUUUUUGCUGUAAAUUAGUGAAUUUCAAUGUGAAUCUUUUUUCACCACUCUAUUUGAUUUAUUGCUAGAUUUAGUAGGAGAUAUAAAAUAUUAGAUCCUUAGUAACUGCACAAAGCUAUGUUAGUUUUGGUCUACCUAUUCCUCAUCUUACUCGUUCUACCAAGAUAGUGUCCUUAUUAUGUAAGGGACUCUGUUUAGGAAUAUAUAUUUUUUAGUUUUUAAUCUGAUAGCUCAUGUCCAUUGAAAAGCAUUUCAAAACAUUAUAAUUGCCAUCUUUUUUCAUACAGGUAUAUUGAACAUGGAUACCACAUUUCACUGUAAUUGGUAUUUGGGUUUUGUAUAUAGUCGAGUAUUUUAGUAGCAAAUUUUCAAGUACUUGGUAUUUCUGAUUUUUUAUCAAGUCCCAUGGUCCAAUGGAUAUUAUUUUCAAUACCUGUAAAAGAAAGAAAAAAAGUAUGAAGCACUGAUCAUGGGUCUGCUUCUUGAAGGCAUUGAUAUUAUUGAAUAAAAUAUACUGUUUCGUUCAUAAGCAGUACAUACAUCUUGGGGUUUUUUUUUUCCCCUUUUAUAUGCCCAUGUCUCAUAGGUACAGUUUUUAAAUCAAAAGAGGGUCUUUUCCUUCGUAUGGAUAGUUAUUUUCCAUUUCAAUUCGUUUCCAUUCCUUCCAAGGAAUAUAUCGAAAAGUAUCUAAAUCGAUGGGCCAAUGUGAACUUUCUUUAUAAAUUGCAGAGCUGAUUCUUUAAAGUUAUGUUUCUUUGUGAUAAAGUUAUAUGAUUAAAUUAGUUGUAUCUAAUACUUAUCUCUUUAUCUAUUCUGUUACAAGAAUCUUAGGAAUUGUGGUGAGGGAGGAGUCUGCUUUCCUCUGCUAUAUAUAUGUAACACUAACCGUACAGAAUAAUUAUUCGUUCAAGAAUAUAUACAAAGGCUGCUUGUUUCUCCUAUUUUCCUUUCUUGGUAUCAGAGCAGGAAGAGCUCACAGCUCAAAUGGCUUCCCCUCAACUCUCCUCUACCACUACCAGUCCAUCUUCUACCACAAAUGAAGCCUCGAAUCUUCCUAAUCAGCCUAUAAACCCAGCGAAUCAACUAGCCACAGUUUGAUUGACUGAUGGAAAUUAUCUCCUUUGGAAACAACAGCUAGAAGCUGGAAUUCGUGGUCUCGGCCUUGAGAAUUUUAUUUAUGGAUCAGUAACCUCUCCAUCCAAAAUCUUGCCAUCAGAAAAUGACCUUCCAGGAUCUCUAAAUCCUGAGUAUAUUCGCUUUCAACGACAGGAUUCGUUGAUCUUCUCGUAUCUUCUUGCUACCAUGGAUGAGAGUAUUCAAGCUCAAAUGGUGGGAUGUCACUCAUCAGCAGAUGUUUGGAAAGCUGUUGCUACCUUGUUUGGCUCCAGAUCUAAAGCCAAAAUAAUGCAAUAUAAAUUGCAGCUACAAACCUUGAAAAAAGGAGGUCUUGCAAUGAAAGAGUACCUGUCCAAGAUGAAAGCUGCAGCAGAUACACUUUCUUCAGCAGGGUAUUCAAUUUCAGAGGAAGAUCAGAUUCUUUACAUCCUUGCAGGUGUUGGACUUGAGUACGAUUCAGUAGUGGUCAAUGUCACCAAUCGUCCAGAACCGUUCACCUUGGAUGAGGUAAGAGCAUUACUUCAAGCACAUGAAGUUCGUCUUGAGCAAUUCCAUGGUAGUACUGAGUCAUCUACUCCCUCUGUCAACUUGACUUUCCAACAACGCAAAUCACACAGUGGAGGACGUAGUUAUAGCUCUCAGCCCUCUUUUCAUCCAAUCUUUUCACCAGCUCAAGGAAAUCGUGGUAGAGGUCGCGGUAACAGAGGAGGCAGGUCUUGGAAUGGUGGCAAUAGACCUCAGUGCCAACUUUGUGGUAAAUAUGGUCAUACAGUUCACAAGUGUUACUUCAGGUUCGAUUCCAACUUCUCUGGAUAUAGUUCAAAUUUGAAUUCUAGCAGUCAGCACCCUUCACGGCAGCAACAAUCAGAAAACUCUCCAAUUGCAGCUGUUGCCUCUACUCCAGAACCAUUCACUGACACAAAUUGGUACCCAAAUUCAGGGGCAACCAACCAUGUCACUAAUGACUUGAGUAAUCUCAACUUUGGGACAGAAUAUUCGGGUGAUAGCAAGAUUUAUAUGGGUAACGGUACAGGUUUACCAAUUUCUCACACUGGCACUUCUCUCUUUUAUUCCUCUUCUCCAAAUAAACUCUUUACACUUCGAAAUAUGCUCCAUGUUCCUCAGAUUACAAAAAACUUGAUUAGUGUCAGUCAGUUUACUAAAGAUAAUCAGGUUUCUAUUGAAUUUAAUCCUCUGUCUUGUUUUGUGAAGGACCUAGCAACGGGAGUCAAGCUUCUUCAAGGGAGUCUACAUAAUGGGCUUUACCAUUUUGAGAUGGUUCCUGCUGCUCUCUCUGCAUCUUCUCAUCAGCCAUCAUCUUUUCCAUUGGCCCUUCCAGUUUCACAAUUUCCAGUUGCUUGUUCGUCUUCCCGUAGUAAUAAUAGUACUGUUUCUAGAUCUGAACUUGUCACUAGGAAUGAGUCUGUUUUAGAUUAUUGGCACAAGAAACUUGGCCAUCCUGCUAUCCCUAUUGUCAAGAAAAUUUUACUACAAAGAAAUGUUUCUUUACCUAUUAAUGACAGAUUCAAUUUUUGUUCAGCUUGUCAACUUCGAAAAAGUCAUCGUUUGCCCUUUUCUAAGUCUGAAAUUGUGUAUAAAGAACCAUUGCAUUUAAUUCAUUCUGAUCUAUGGUGUGGUUCCCAUGUUCUUUCACAUAAUGGCAAUCGUUACUAUGUUAGUUUUAUUGAUGCUGCAACUCGAUAUAGUUGGAUUUAUUUCCUUAAGUCUAAAUCAGAUGUCUAUCAAGCCUUUGUUCAUUUCAAAUCCAAAGUUGAAUUGUUGCUCAACAAGAAAAUUAAAAUUGUACAAUCCGACUGGGGUGGUGAAUUUCAGGCCUUGACUAAAUUUUUUCUUGAUCAUGGUAUAUCUCAUCGUGUUUCUUGUCCUUACACUUCUCCUCAAAAUGGAGUCGCCGAACACAAACAUCGUCAUAUUGUUGAAAUUGCCUUAACCCUCUUAGCUUAAGCCUCGCUACCUUAUAAAUUCUGGGAAGAUGCAUGUGAGACAGCAGUUUACCUUAUCAACCGGCUUCCUAUGCCUACUCUUUAUGGUCAAACACCUUUGGAAAGGCUUUUUCAUAUCCCUCCUAACUAUGAUUUUCUUAAAGUUUUUGGAUGUCAAUGUUUCCCUUUCACUAGACCAUUUAAUAAUCAUAAGUUAGAAUUUCGUUCUACUCCUUGUGUAUUUCUUAGUUAUAGUAGUACACAUAAGGGAUAUAAAUGUUUAUUCGAUUCAGGGAAACUAUAUAUCUCCAGACAUGUCACUUUUAAUGAAUCAUACUUUCCUUUUGCUCACAAAGACAGUUCCAUCUCGUCAACACAUUCAUCCACGUCUUCGGUUCUUUGUCCUAUACCCAUGCAUCCACUCCCAGCCUCUCCUAUUUUGCCUACAUCAACAUCACAUACCAUUCCUGAUUCCUCUCCCAUGACUGACCUUUCUCCUUCCAUCUCUCCUUCCCCUCCUCCCCCUUCUCUCUUGGUAGACACUGGUGUUACUCCAUUUAAUGAUCACCCUAUGGUUACUCGGGCAAAACAUGGUAUAUUCAAGCCCAAAGCCUGGCUUGCUGAUCUUGCUAAUCAUGAACCAGUCAAUGUUGCUCAGGCCAUGAGCAGUUUUGUUUGGAAACAAGCUAUGCAACACGAAUUUGAUGCUUUACUUGCUAAUAAGACUUGGUCUCUUGUUCCAGCUCCUGCUGAUUGUACAGUUAUUGGUUGUCGUUGGGUGUUUAAGAUAAAACGAAAUCCUGAUGGCACUGUUUCUCGUUACAAGGCCCGCCUUGUUGCAAAAGGUUAUCUUCAAACUGCUGGUCUUGAUUUUACAGAGACUUUUAGCCCUGUUGUUAAGCCUGUUACUAUUCGUCUAGUGCUUGCUAUUGCUCUCUCUCUCGUGGAUGGGAUAUUCGACAACUUGAUGUUAAUAAUGCAUUCCUUAAUGGAGAUCUCCGUGAGACUGUUUUUAUGGCGCAACCACCAGGUUAUGAGCAUACUUCUUCUACUGGUCAUCCUCUUGUUUGUAAGCUCCACAAAGCUUUGUAUGGCCUUAAACAGGCCCCUCGGGCUUGGUUUGAUAAACUCCAAGGGUCCUUACUUUCUUUGGGAUUUCAUGGUUCUCGGGCAUAUCCGUCUCUCUUUUUUAAACAUCGUGGUUCUUCUUGUGUUUAUGUGCUCAUCUACGUUGAUGAUAUCUUAAUAACAGGGAGUGACUCUCAUGAGGUUCUUCAGCUCAUCUCUCAUCUUAGUCAGGCCUUCUCACUUAAAGACCUCGGUUUACUUCAUUUUUUCCUUGGUAUUGAAGCUCGGUACACUUCUUCAGGUGGCCUAUUAUUGACUCAAGGCAAAUAUGUCCGUGACUUGCUUACUCGGGCUAGUAUGGCCAAUGCUCGUCCCUUACCCACACCAAUGAUCACGAGUGAACGUUUAUCUGCUACUGUUGGUGACCCAUUUCCAGAUCCUUCUUUUUAUAGGAGCAUUGUCGGUGCUCUUCAGUAUCUCACUAUUACACGGCCUGACAUCUCCUUUUCAGUCAACAAAGUAUGCCAGUAUAUGCAAUCCCCUCGUGAGCCUCAUUGGAAGGCUGUCAAACGAAUUUUACGGUAUCUACAGGGCACCUAUGAUUAUGGCCUCCAUUUACCUAAGUCUCCUUCCCUUUCCUUUAUUGGCUUCUCUGAUGCGGACUGGGCUACUGACCCUGAUGAUAGGAAGUCUACUUCUGGAUUUUGUGUAUUUCUUGGUCACUGUCUUGUUACCUGGAGCUGCAAGAAAUAGCACACCAUCUCUCGUUCAAGUACUGAAGCAGAGUAUCGUAGUCUUGCUAAUGCCACUGUCGAGGUGGUUUGGAUUCAGUCCUUCCUGAGUGAACUUCAGCUUCCUUUGCCCAAUGUUCCUGUUAUGUGGUGUGAUAACUUGAGCACUGUUUCGUUGAGUGCCAAUCCCGUGUUGCAUUCUCGCACUAAACAUAUCGAAUUGGACUUAUAUUUUGUUCGUGAUAAAGUUCUCAAUCAGACUCUUCGAGUUCAGCAUGUCCUGUCUCUCGAUCAAAUUGCAGAUAUCUUCACAAAACCGCUGUCUUUUGCUCAUUUUGGAAGGCUUCGUUCCAAGCUAUGUGUGGUGUCCUCCACCACACUUAGCUUGCGGGGGCAUGAUAAAGUUAUAUGAUUAAAUUAGUUGUAUCUAAUACUUAUCUCUUUAUCUAUUCUGUUACAAGAAUCUUAGGAAUUGUGGUGAGGGAGGAGUCUGCUUUCCUCUGCUAUAUAUAUGUAACACUAAUUGUACAGAAUAAUUAUUCGUUCAAGAAUAUAUACAAAGGCUGCUUGUUUCUCCUAUUUUCCUUUCUCUUUGUGCUUUUCACAUUGUCUGUUUUAUGUUGAUGUAUCAUUCUUUUGUAGAAAUCCCGUUCUAGGGAUUGAGGUGGUCAUAAGACUAUAGGGGUGAGACGAGAAAGAAAUGAACAAGAAUUCCAUUGAGCAGGAACAUGAUGAUGGUGUUCUACAAAGCACCAUUCAUGAAAAGAAGAAGUGCAUGACAAGUAAAAGGGCAAACGAUCUUCGGUUUGAAAUAGAAGAACAAAAGAAAGUUGUUGGUACCAAAAGAAAAGAGCAUAAAAAACAGUAAGAACUUAACAAUAUCUUAUUUUAUUAAUCUCCUCCAUUUUUGUGAAAUUUAAACAAGUGAAAUAAGGUCAAGUUUGAGGAAUUUGU